rnacentral:rRNA from 1 species
AUUGAACGCUGGCGGAAUGCUUUACACAUGCAAGUCGAACGGCAGCACGGACUUCGGUCUGGUGGCGAGUGGCGAACGGGUGAGUAAUGUAUCGGAACGUGCCCAGUCGUGGGGGAUAACGUAGUGAAAAUUACGCUAAUACCGCAUACGAUCUAUGGAUGAAAGCGGGGGAUCGCAAGACCUCGCGCGAUUGGAGCGGCCGAUAUCAGAUUAGGUAGUUGGUGGGGUAAAGGCCCACCAAGCCAACGAUCUGUAGUUGGUCUGAGAGGACGACCAGCCACACUGGAACGGAGACACGGUCCAGACUCCUACGGGAGGCAGCAGUGGGGAAUUUUGGACAAUGGGCGAAAGCCUGAUCCAGCCAUUCCGCGUGCAGGAUGAAGGCCCUCGGGUUGUAACCUGCUUUUGUACAGAACGAAAAGGUUUCUACUAAUACUAGGAGCUCAUGACGGUACUGUAAGAAUAAGCACCGGCUAACUACGUGCCAGCCGCCGCAGUAA